UGAUGACAAAUUCUCCGGAAUCGCUGUAUUUUCUUGAUGAUACUCCUUGAACCCCUUUUGCUGAUGACUGUUUUUGCGUUGAAC